AGUCUUUGUACAUUGGGGAUCUCCGUAAUACAAGGGCACAGACCCCGUGCUGCCAACAUACACAUCGAGGAAUUUUUCAGUGCUAGCCUGUCACAGAUGCCCUGCAAAAUCACUGAGGGAAACAGCUUUCGGUUGAUGUAACAUCUUUUUUGUGGCUCAGCAGGUGGGCGUAUGCGGAUGUGGCACCCGUCAAUGGCACCUGCAGCGAGGCAGAAUGCCUCAUGGCCAGCCAAGCGAGCAAAACCUGCCCUCACCUCUCCCGUCUCAUCUGGCUUGGGGAAAUGGAUGAUCCUGUGGAGAAUGGUCUCCUCCACCACAUGGUGUACAGCCCUACAGACUGUGGCCACUGGCAUGGCGAUGUUGUCAGAGGUCACUCAAACCUAGAGCAGCAAGCUGAUGGUCUCUCUGGUGAGUCUAAAGACUGGUUUUGUACCAGCAUCAGAAAAGACCACCUUGAAGAUGGGCAUUUGAUGGUUGACUUCAGCAUCAAAGUAGAGUUUGAUCCUAUUAAAACAAUAUUAGACAAUGUUGUGUUAUACCAUAUUCAGUUACUUCACAAUUUUAUUUUGGUCAUUGUUUUUAUUCCAUUAAAUAUUGUACUUUUUUUUCAUUGUUGUUUAUUCCUUUAAUGUUUUAUUCUUUGUUCAUUGUUGUGUUUAUUCCAUUAGAUGUUAACAACUGAUAAUGAUAAACAGCUUAAUGUAGUUGUUGAUAGUCAUUGAUAUGAAAAUAAGCUCCCCCUCAUUCUUUACAUCAUUGAACAAAGCAGCUAGCUUGCUAAGUAAUUAUUCAACAGAGGGUGGCGCAUUUACACAGCAAACAAGUGCCAACAUAGCACGUAGCUUCGCCAUCCUCCUUCGCCUCCUCCUCUGCACCUGACGCCUCAGCUCAGCUGCCUCCUCCUCAGCUUUCAUGUAAAGUGACCCAAUAGCCGCUGCUGCUAACACCAGCACCCUUCUGUCCAUCUUGUACGUUCUCUGUUAAUGUACUCUAUAGUUCUUUGUUUGACCUGAUUUUUUCCCGCCGAUAGCUAUAAAGAUUAUGCCGCGCAACCAGCCCGCAAAUCUUUUUUAGCUUAGGGUAGGGCAUCAUAACACUUGCGAAUAACCUAAGUACUCAGAUAAUGAAUGAUAGAAAUGACA